UACGUAGGGGGCAAGCGUUGUCCGGAAUUAUUGGGCGUAAAGCGCGCGCAGGCGGUCCUUUAAGUCUGAUGUGAAAGCCCACGGCUCAACCGUGGAAGGUCAUUGGAAACUGGAGGACUUGAGUACAGAAGAGGAAAGCGGAAUUCCACGUGUAGCGGUGAAAUGCGUAGAGAUGUGGAGGAACACCAGUGGCGAAGGCGGCUUUCUGGUCUGUAACUGACGCUGAGGCGCGAAAGCGUGGGGAGCAAACAGG
rnacentral:rRNA from 1 species